rnacentral:misc_RNA from 1 species
AAAAGAUGCCUUGGAGCCGGUGAACGAGAAGAAGGGCAAGGGAACCGGAAUUGGAACAUUGAUCCCAACCUGUCCGGCUUCAAUAUCCGUUUGAAACUUCCUCGCCGCUAUCCCAGAUGUUGUGAAUAUGGAAGCUCCAUUCCCGUACCUAUUUCCGUUAACGAUGCUAAUGGCCUCCUCUAAACUCUCAGCCUGCAUGCAAAGCAGAACUGGGCCAAAUAUUUCUUCCUUGUAGCACUCCAUGUCCGGCGUCACAUCUGUUAAGAUAGUAGGGCCAAUAAAAUUUCCACUCUCGUAUCCAGGAACCACUAUAUUUCUCCCAUCUAGCAGUAGCCUGGCUCCACUAUCGAUGCCAGAUUGAACCAAUCUGUGAAUCCUAUCCUUUGCCUGCUUGCUAAUUACUGGA